CUCGCAGUUAGGAAAGAGUGAGGGAAGGAGAGAGGACAUUAGAGGGGGACGGGACGGUCCCGUCGGGGGAAGGACGAGGACGUGGCCGUGGCCUUGUGCCGCAGACUUACAGCCGCUUGACGGAGAUACGUGCUAGGCCCUGUCCGUCACACCGCACGCGGAGCGGGGGCAGGGUCGUACCCGGCGAACUGAGACCCCCGGCACGUGCCUAAAGGACUCCUCCAUUCCAGGCGUGACCCCAGAGGGCAAGGCCCCCACGGAGUGGGGAACAAAGGGCGUGACCCCGGGGUCACUGGGAGCGCAGGCGGCCCCCUUUGAAAGGCCGGUGGCGUCGCUUCGCUCCGAGCGGGGCGGAGAGCGCCCAUACACUGACUAAUAGGGAUUAAGGGGUUAUCUCCCGCGGGACCUCACUUAAGUGUGUCCGACAUCACUUCCUUAUUAGCGCCCGGGACCCCGCCACUUAACCUCGCGCCCCAGAGGCACCGCCGGCAUCGGCGACCCCCUGCCCCAGCGCUUUACGGCACGCUCACGCCGCAUUCACCGCGUUCGUCCCACAGAGAAAGCAAAGCUACGCGCAGCUUAACGAGAGAACACCAUCACCGCCUUCCCACGGCAUCACGAAAAACUAUUCAUUUGUGACUCAUGUUCACAGUAUAAGCACUUGUUUGCAAAUAAAUUAGAAGUGGCACAGAAGGAUGCUAAUGAAAUCUGUGUGCAUGUGAGGAAAUAAAGUAAAAUUACUGAAAGCCUCAUGACUGCAAUUUUGAUUGACCACCAAUAACAGAAAAGAAAAUAUCUAAUUGCAGCAAUAAUACAAAUUCCAAAAACUCUUCACCUCCUAAUAAAACUAAGUGAUAUAUUCAGUUCCAUAAGAACAGCAGUGCAUAGAAUGUAACUAAUUGAAUUGAUCACAGAAGUAAUGUAGUUUCUUAAA